UACCGGCGGCUCGAGUGGUGGCCGAUAUUAUUGAGUCUAAAGGGUCCGUAGCCGGCUUUGCAAGUCCUUCGGGAAAUCCAGCGGCUUAACCGUUGGGCUGCCGGGGGUACUACAUUGCUUGGGACUGGGAGAGGCGAGAGGUACUCAGGGGGUAGGAGUGGAAUCCUGUAAUCCUUUGGGGACCACCGGUGGCGAAGGCGUCUCGCCAGAACAGGUCCGACGGUGAGGGACGAAAGCUAGGGGCA
rnacentral:rRNA from 1 species